AUAUGCAUGAUUUAACAAGAUAAGUCAAUUAAUGUGUUGAGGUAUACCAGUUAGCACUUAUUUCCUCCUUGCUUUGUCUUACUGGGAUCUUAUUUUUAGUUUAAUUUCCUCUUUGAUAAUGUCUACGUAUAUAUAAUUUACUGGGGAUAGUGUAUGGAUGUAUUAGGCAACAGUAAACAGCUAUUAUCGAGGUGGUCUUCUUUCUCCUUGUUUAAUGUGAUGUAAAGUGAUAAAAGGUCGUAAGGAGUCAUUCAUUGGGGUAUUGCUUUACUUUCUCAAUGGGUUUGAUGUAAGAAUCUUCAUUACUUACGUAACUAUGGUAGCCGGAGAGAUGAGAUAACGCGCAUUUAAAUUGUUAUCAGUAUUCUCAGCCAUUUUAUGCUACGAAUUGAGGUUGUAAUGUGCCUAUUGACUUAACAAACUACUCAAGGCCACAAUACACCAAUCCGGAAAAGAGAAGUCACGCAGCAUUUAAUAAUAGAGAAGAAAAAUGGAUAAUAAAAAGUGCAAGGCAGAAGAACCCAAGUCAGAUAAUCGAACACUUGCUAUACGGCGCGGUGCCAAAUCUUCCAUAAAACACAAAUUAAACCGAAGACUAUAUACGCUUCCACCAUACAAACUUAAUAAAACACACAAAACAAACAUAUACACCCCAUUAAAACUAACCAUAUGACUGAGCUAUAUGGUGUUUCUCUACCUAUCUAACGACCUCUUCUACCUGGCAUGGCACCACUGUCUACGUCACAGGCGAGGGCAAGACCAUCACGUGCAGUUGAUACCAAACAGGAGCCGGAUGUAACCACUACCUAACCACCUUUUCCUAGCAUUUCUGUAACUUUGGGGAUAUCCUGGAGCAAUGAGGGACAGGAGGAUGGGUUAAUAAUAAUGCUUCGUGAACUUAUAUAAAGACAUGCGAGCAGACAAAUAAAUCCUACAUAAUAUAACUCCCUAUUCCUAUAUGCCAGUCUAGUCUGUUACUUUUCUGGUGCAAUAAGGGAAAGGAAAGGAGGAUGUGGUAUGCUUCGUGAACUUAUAUAAAGACAUGGGAGCAGGCAAAUAAAACCCAUAUAAUAUAACCCCCUAUUCCUAUAUGCCAGUCUAGUUUGUUACUUUCUGGGGGAUAUCCUGGUGCAAUGAGGGAAAGCAAAGGAGGAUGCGGUAUGCUUCGUGAACUUAUAUAAAGACAUACGAGCAGGCAAAUAAAACCUAUAUAAUAUAACCCCCUAUUCCUAUAAGCCACUCCAGUCUGUUACUCUCUGGGGGAUAUCCUGGUGCAAUGAGGGAAAGCAAAGGAGGAUGUGGUAUGCUUCGUGAACUUAUAUAAAGACAUACGAGCAGGCAAAUAAAACCUAUAUAAUAUAACCCCCUAUUCCUAUAAGCCACUCCAGUCUGUUACUCUCUGGGGGAUAUCCUGGUGCAAUGAAGGAAAGCAAAGGAGGAUGUGGUAUGCUUCGUGAACUUAUAUAUAGACAUACGAGCAGGCAAAUAAAACCUAUAUAAUAUAACUCCAUAUUCCUAUAAGCCACUCCAGUCUGUUACUUUCUGGGGGAUAUCCUGGUGCAAUAAGGAAAAGGAAAGGAUGUGGUAAUAACGUCUCGUGGGGCUGAUAGAUAGAUAUUCAACACAGGAGGCGAAUAUAAUUAACCACCCAUAGCCACUUAAUUCUUCCUAGCCCUGUCUGUAACUUUGAGGGGCCAAUACUGGUGCAACAAGGAAAAGGAAAGGAGGAUGUGGUAGUAAUAAUGCUUCGUGUGCUUUGAUACAUAUUUAACACGUACAGGAGGCGCAUAAUUAUACAACCACCUAGCUAUAACAACUUCCUCCUAGUCUGUCUGUAACUUCGGGGGCGUAUACUGGAACAAUGGGGGAAGGAAAGGAGGAUAUGGUAAUAAUGCUUCGUGGGGUUUGAUAGACAGAUAAUUAACACAGGAGGCGUAUAUAUAACCACCUAAAACGACCUCCUCCAGGCCUGUCUAUAACUUUGUGGGAUAUCCUAAAGCAAUAAGGGAAAGGAAAGGAGGAUUGGAUAAUAAUAAUGCUUCGUGGGCUUUGAUAGAUAGAUAUUUAACACAGGAGGCGUAUAUAUAACUACCUAAAACGACCUCCUCCAGGCCUGUCUAUAACUUUGAGGGAUAUCCUGAAGCAAUAAGGGAAAGGAAAGGAGGAUUGGAUAAUAAUAAUGCUUUGAGGCCCUUGAUAGACCGAUAUAUUUAACACAGUAGGCGAAUAUAACCACCUAUAGCCACUUGACCACUUCUUCCUAGCCCUGUCUGUAACUUUGGGGGCCUAUACUGGAACAAUGGGGGAAGGAAAGGAGGAUGUGGUAAUAUGUAAUGCAGCGUGGCCUUAGACAAACACGCGUGGUCACGGAGAAAUUGACCUUAACCAACCAACCGUGAAGCAAACGUCUUGAGUAUUUCGCUGACCUUUAAGUGAUAGGAGGAGGAGGAGGAGGA